rnacentral:rRNA from 1 species
UACGAAGGGGGCUAGCGUUGUUCGGAAUCACUGGGCGUAAAGCGCACGUAGGCGGAUUGUUAAGUCGGGGGUGAAAUCCUGAGGCUCAACCUCAGAACUGCCUUCGAUACUGGCAAUCUCGAGUCCGGAAGAGGUUGGUGGAACAGCUAGUGUAGAGGUGAAAUUCGUAGAUAUUAGCUAGAACACCAGUGGCGAAAGGCGGCCAACUGGUCCGGUACUGGCACGCGUGAGGUGACGGAAAAGGCGUGGGGAA